ensembl:lncRNA
ACAAGCACCCCUUGGACAUGCACACACACACAUGUGCACACCCACACUCAACAUCAUUGCAUCACUCCUUACUGAACAGAAGGAGGUACAUAAACGAGUGGCGUAAGAUCAGGAGAAACUUUCAGGGCAAACUUUGUCCCUUCUUGGACUGUCUGCUGUGACCUCAAGGUACUGUAUAAAAACAUGUCUCUCUCUGUGUUUCAGAUGGGGAAGCGAAAGUUCUCAGGGUUAGAGAUUACCCUGAUAGUGCUGUUUGUCCUGGUUGGGAUUGUUGCUAUAGCACUUGUUGUCCUGCUGGCCACGGGAGAGCCCGCUGUCACCAAAGAGCCAACAAACCCAACCCAGCAGCCAGAUCCAGAGCCUUUUGUGCCAGUUUGUCCAGACAUCCCAAUCGCAGAGAGAGUGGAUUGUCACCCAGAGGCCGGCGGCUCCCAGGUAAAAUACUGACCGUUUCAUCAGUCUAUGGUUAUUAUGUCCAUCACUCAUUACUCCUGAUUUAAUC